rnacentral:rRNA from 1 species
UACGGAGGGGGCUAGCGUUGUUCGGAAUUACUGGGCGUAAAGCGCGCGUAGGCGGAUCUGCAAGUCGGGGGUGAAAUCCCGAGGCUCAACCUCGGAACUGCCUUCGAUACUGCGGGUCUCGAGUCCGGGAGAGGUGAGUGGAAUUCCUAGUGUAGAGGUGAAAUUCGUAGAUAUUAGGAAGAACACCAGUGGCGAAGGCGGCUCACUGGCCCGGUACUGACGCUGAGGCGCGAAAGCUAGGGGAGCGAACGGG